rnacentral:tRNA from 1 species
GCGCCGGUGGUGUAAGGCGAACAUCGCUGCCCGGAAAGCAGAAGAUGCGGCUUCGAGUCCCGCCUAGCACA